rnacentral:lncRNA from 1 species
ACGAACCCGACCACCACCACGACGAACCCGACCACCACCACUACGAACCCGACCACUACCACCACCACGACCAUGACCACCACCACCACGACCACCACCACGAGCCCAACCACCACUACCCCAGGUACUGCCCCUCCCACCCUUAGCUGCCCCCAGGGCAGGUUUCUCACCCUGGACCUCCCAGCCCUACCUCACCUGGUCUUUUCUAGGGGUCUGUGAAAAUGGAGGCACUUGGGUCAACGGCCACUGCAUGUGCCCCCCGGGAUACACGGGCAGCACCUGCAGUUACGGCGAGAGCAGCAUCGAGACCAAAGCUGGUAGGGAGCCAUCUGCACCCACCUCCAGCCCACGGGGGGGCAAAACUUCUCGGGAGAAUCAGGAGGGGGGCUUCCUUACAGGGAGGGCAAGUCAGGAGUGACCAUGGCCACAGGCAUGGACCUCAACCAGGGCAUGGGUCCACAGCACCCGAAGGCGUUGGCAGUGAGUUCGCCAACCUGAGUGUUAUCCUGGGGAACCCUGGCAAGGAACCUGGGCAAGGGAUUUCCCAACCAGCACAAGGUCCUACAGCACCCACAGGUGUGGGUAAGGAGUUCUCCAACCACUGUCUUGUCCUCGGGCACCAAAAGAUGUGAGUAAGGAGCUCUCCAAACAUCACAACCACUCCCACAGCACUCAAAGGUGCAGGCAGAAGCAUAGGGCAGGGCAGGGGACCACAGCUGAGGUCCAAGCAGCAGCCAGAAGCAGCCCAGGAGCAGGCCCCCCUUAGCAUAGCUCCAGAGGCCUGGGGGCCUGCCCUUAAAUGCUCCCUCUGCAGCAAUAAGCAGAGGCUGGAGGGCCCAGGUGAGGCUGGUUGGUGCCGCUAAGGCUUGUUAGUGCCCUGUGGGGCUUGGGAACAAUGCCCAUGGUCAUGCUGGGGUUGUCUCCUGCUCCUGAGUCCCAUCUCCUGCCUUCCCCCAAAGAGACCAACGUGUCCGUGAACGUGGAGCUGCGGGUCACCAACCAGGAGUUCUCCGAGGACCUCCGAAACAAAAGCUCCAACACCUACCAGAACUUCGUCCGCAGCUUCACCCAGCAGAUGGACAACUUCUACCGCAACAUUGAAGGCUACCAGGGCAUCGAGAUCCUGAGUCUGUCGCCGGGCAGCAUCGUGGUAGAUCAUGCCAUCAUCGUCGCUCUGCUGGUGACCGCUGAUACCACAGAGAAGAUCAAUAACAUCACCAAGAAUGUGAAGGAGGAGAUUGUCCAAGCAGCGGCCUAUCAGCAAAACUGCACUGACAACAGUGAGCCUCUGCCCUCCAGGGACAGGGUUGGGCCCCCAGGGAUGGGG